rnacentral:rRNA from 1 species
AUACGGAGGGUGCAAGCGUUACUCGGAAUCACUGGGCGUAAAGCGCGCGCAGGCGGCUAUUUAAGUUGGAUGUGAAAGCCUACGGCUCAACCGUAGAACUGCAUCCAAAACUAUUUAGCUAGAGUGUGGGAGAGGAAGAUGGAAUUAGUUGUGUAGGGGUAAAAUCCGUAGAGAUAACUAGGAAUACCAAAAGCGAAGGCAAUCUUCUGGAACACUGCUGACGCUGAGGCGCGAAAGCGUGGGGAGCAAACAGGAUUAGAAACCCCAGUAGUCC